rnacentral:rRNA from 1 species
AGCUCUGCGAACAUAUAUCAAUGCUGUUGCGGUUAAAAAGCUCGUAGUUGGAUCUCGUGUUUAGCCCCAGGUGCGCACGACAUGUGCGUUUACUUGGCGGCGACACAAUAUAUAGUCAGACGGGCGACGGUGUCCUUAAUUGAACGCCGUUUGUCUCGCUGACGAGUUUACUUUGAACAAAUCAGAGUGCUCAAAACAGGCGUUUGCUUGUAUGCUUUUGCAUGGAAUAAUAGAAUAGGACCAUGGUCUUAUUUUGUUGGUUCUUGAGACCACGGUAAUGAUUAAAAGGAACAGACGGUGGCAUUCGUACUGCGACGUUAGAGGUGAAAUUCUUGGAUCGUCGCAAGACGGACUACUGCGAAGGCAUUUGUCAAGAAUGUUUUCA